GACCCGUGAAGCCUUCAAGUCCCGGCAAUGAAACGGUUCGUGUGAGGAAGACUGCUUCUGGUGCUGCAGGUGGAAAUUGUUACUAGUGUCGUGGUGGCAGCACGGGCCUCGGCACUCCCUGGCACCACGGCAGGUGUCAGUGAGGCAGGCAGGUGUUGGUUCAAGUCCUGGCAGUGUCACUUCGCUGCUGUAUUGUUUGGUGCAGCGGAAAAUGCUACGUUUUUCAUCACUUAGUGUAGAGUCUAUUUUUGCUUGACGUUAUUUGUGUUGGUAAGGCAUUUCCACUAUAUAGUGGUAGAUAUUCUGGGAAAUAAGGAAUUAGCAACACUAAGACAUGCUUGAACAACACUCACCAGUGUGGAAGACUUGUCAGGCAGUGGCUGUAGUGGCUUCACUUGAACCACGACCAUGUUCUCCUCAACCCUUGGAAAGAGAACAAUUCAUCUGAAAUGGAGAUACAAAGAUAUUGGGGAAAAUUUGAGAGAGAGACGCUGCAAAGUGUAGCUGACAGUGUGCGUGUCGUCAUCAAGAGGAGGGGCUCUAAAAUGAAACAGUAGGACACUCGUGAAGACAUUCAUACUAUCUUUUCUCAAGGGAAGUGUGUGUCGUGUGUGUUAACAACGUCAGGCGCGGACAUUUUUUGCAUCAAGGGUGAUGUACGAUCCGGACAUGAAAAAAGUUUUUUUUUCUUUUAUAAUUUUCUAAUUUUUUUCCGCUUCUUUUGAUAUAUGUAACGUUUUAAUAAGAACAAAAAAAAUCCCCUUAUGUAAAGAGAUCUUCUGUUAUGAAAUUCCCACGGUUUCGCCCGCUGCGAGACUGUCACACAAGUUUUUUUUACAUUUUUUUUUUUUUUUUCUCUUUUCAUAUAUUUUUCUGACAUACCCGUUCUUCUUCACUCUCCCAUGAAUAUCUACGGUUCUCUUGCUGCAUACAAUAUUAGAAAGCACGAAAUUCUAGAUCUAACUAUUUUCUCAAAUUGAUAUACGAAAAAAAAAUAUAAUUAUUUUUUUUUUUCGUAAAUCUAGCAAAUAGUCAAUGUAUCUGCAUUAGAUAUCUUUUGCAUUGAUAUUUUAUUUAUUUUCAAACAAUUAAACACUGGUUUUUACUUAGAAAUAUGGCGAAAUAUAACAAAAAUUGUUUUCACCCGCCUUCUCCCCUCCCACCCGGUAAUUAAGGGUGAAAUCAUGAAUAGCUUUAGGCCUUAUACACAAAACCAAUCGGAGUAACUAAAACUAUGUCUGCUUUUUCAACAUAUUCUGAUGUAUAUAUCGCGUGAAUUUCAAGUCCCUGGCUGCAAUAGGUGAAUUAGUCACCCCUUAAACUUUAUGACAUAAUAUCUCAAAAUGGCGGAUUUUAGCAUAUAAAAAUGAUCUGCUCCGUUGUUAUUGGUGUUACACACAGAUGGGCUAUUGCGGCUUAUCAAACUGUGAGAGGCGAACAAAGUCUGCUGUCGUCAUUUUUGUUUGGAGUUGAUUUUGAUUUUUGACAAAUAUUUCAAAGUUUUUUUUUUUUUUUUACUUUUCAUCGAAAAAAAAUCGUACAAUAAAAGAAAAAAGAUAGCAGACUUUGUUCUCCUAUCCUUCCUGAUCAAAAUACUUUUUAAAUAAAUGAGGGAGGAGAUACGAGUUGAACACAGGCAAUUUAACAAGGGAUUAGCGAUCCUUCAACCACCCCCAAGUGUAUGAAUAAAGGUGAUUAGUUACUUUGAUGUGGAAAGACUGUAAUUUGUAAAGAUGAGAAUAUAUGAGAAUAAAUUAU